rnacentral:rRNA from 1 species
AUGGACGCCAGAGCAGUGGCCGGGUGCUUCCGUGGAAAGACCAUACUCGUCACCGGCUCAACUGGUUUCCUUGGAAAAUUGAUGGUUGAGAAGAUACUGAGGGUACAACCGGACGUGAAGAAACUCUACCUGUUGGUGCGUGCGCCGGAUGUCGCCUCUGCCGAGCAGCGUAUCCUGACACAGGUGUUGGGGAAGGACCUGUUCAAUACCCUGAGGGAAAAGCAUGGGCUUGCUGGCUUCCAGAAGCUCAUCAAAGAGAAGAUAGUUCCUCUCGCCGGAGACGUUGGGUCUCACAACUUCAGGCUCGACAACUCCAGAGCUGACGACCUGUGUGAGGAGAUCGACAUUAUCAUCCAUGGGGCUGCAACAACUAGCUUUUAUGAAAGGUACGAUGUUGCUUUGGCAACGAAUGCACUAGGAGCCAAAUAUGGAUGCGAAUUUGCAAAGAAGUGUCCUAAUCUGAAAUUGUUGCUUCAUGUUUCUACUGCUUUUGUAACUGGUACUCAAGAUGGACUUUUACUGGAGAAAGCACUCAAGAUGGGUGAAUCACUACAGCCUGGUUACCACUUGGACAUUGAAGCUGAGUUGGAGUUGGUUGAGAAGGUCAAGGCUGAACUCACAGCGUCUAAGAGUGGUAGUUCAGACAAAUCAUUGGAGAAGACAGCCAUGAAAGAACUUGGCUUAAAGAGGGCUUGCCAUUUUGGAUGGCCAAACGUAUAUACAUUUACCAAGGCUAUGGGUGAGAUGUUACUUGAGCAGCAUAGGGGAGACCUUCCUGUCGUCAUUAUUCGACCUACCAUGGUAACCAGCACUUUCCAAGAUCCAUUUCCAGGUUGGAUAGAAGGGGCGAGGACAAUUGAUGCUAUGAUUGUCGCCUACACUGAGCAAGCAUUCCCAUGUUUCGUAGGUGAUCGCAAAGACACAAUGGAUGCAGUUCCUGCGGACAUGGUGGUAAAUGCAACGCUGGUAGCCAUGGCUGUUCAUUUGAAUGAGAAAGGACAAGUCAUUUACAACGUGUGCUCAGCACUCCAAAACCCAUUGACGGGUUAUGGCUUAGAAGACGCAUGUUGGGAUUACUUCUCCAUAUAUCCUCGUAUACAGAAUGGGAAACCCCUCAAAAACAAAAGGCCAUACGUGUUUAAGAGAUUCGCUUUAUUCCGCGCAUAUCUGAUACUGGUGUAUAAGCUACCACUUGAGAUGUUACAUGCCGUGAGCCUGUUAUUUUGUGGGUUGUUUUCACAAUAUUACAAUAAGCAAAACCGAAGAUACAAUUUCUUAAUGCUCUUGGUCAAGCUGUAUGCGCCAUAUGCCUUCUUCAAAGGAUGCUUUGAUGACACGAACAUGAGGAGGUUGAGGAUGGAAGUAAAAAUGGAUGGCAAUGCUAGUGACAUAUUUAACUUUGAUCUCAAAUCUAUGGACUGGCACACGUAUCUCCUGAAUGUACACGUCCCAGCUGUGCUAAAGUAUGGACGCAAAAAUAAGGGAAGCGUAUAA